rnacentral:tRNA from 1 species
GCGAGAGUGGCGGAACUGGUAGACGCGCUGGAUUUAGGAUCCAGUAGGGAGACCUGUGGGGGUUCGAGUCCCCCCUCUCGCACCA